ACUUAAAUUGAAGAGUUUGAUCAUGGCUCAGAUUGAACGCUGGCGGCAGGCCUAACACAUGCAAGUCGAGCGGUAGCACAGAGAGCUUGCUCUCGGGUGACGAGCGGCGGACGGGUGAGUAAUGUCUGGGAAACUGCCUGAUGGAGGGGGAUAACUACUGGAAACGGUAGCUAAUACCGCAUAAUGUCGCAAGACCAAAGUGGGGGACCUUCGGGCCUCAUGCCAUCAGAUGUGCCCAGAUGGGAUUAGCUUGUAGGUGGGGUAACGGCUCACCUAGGCGACGAUCCCUAGCUGGUCUGAGAGGAUGACCAGCCACACUGGAACUGAGACACGGUCCAGACUCCUACGGGAGGCAGCAGUGGGGAAUAUUGCACAAUGGGCGCAAGCCUGAUGCAGCCAUGCCGCGUGUGUGAAGAAGGCCUUCGGGUUGUAAAGCACUUUCAGCGGGGAGGAAGGCGGUGAGGUUAAUAACCUCAUCGAUUGACGUUACCCGCAGAAGAAGCACCGGCUAACUCCGUGCCAGCAGCCGCGGUAAUACGGAGGGUGCAAGCGUUAAUCGGAAUUACUGGGCGUAAAGCGCACGCAGGCGGUCUGUCAAGUCGGAUGUGAAAUCCCCGGGCUCAACCUGGGA
rnacentral:rRNA from 1 species